GAGUGUAAUUUACUUGCCGCUGAGGAGAGUGCCUGGUGGUAGCUAGGUACGGAGCAUGCUGUGUAAUUCUAACUUCAUACACACUGCUCCCGCUGUUGUUUUAUUUCAGACAUUUUACGUAAAUAUAGAUGGUGUAUCGACUUAUUUAUAUCACUUAUUUGUUUGGACUUAUUCCAACAUUUUUUUUAAAUAAAUUAAAUAAUAUUCAUUAUUUUAAUAUAUUUUGAUUACUACCUCGAUCAGUCAUUCUCGAAUAUAUUUUGUAUCACUUAUUUGUUUUGACUAAUCACAAUAUAUUUUUAAAACUAUUAUAAUCGAUUAAAUAUUAUUUAUUAUUUUAAUAUAUUUUGUUUACUGUCCCGAUUAAUCCUUCCGACUAAUUCCCAAUAUAUUUGUAUUACUUAUUUAUUUCGACUAAUCUUAACAUAUUUUUAAAGACUAUCACAAUAAAUUUAAUAUUAAUCAUUAUUUUAACAUAUUUCAACAUUUGGAGAGGAAGGGUGGCCAUAAGGUGAAACUAGUAAAGAACUUCACAAAUGAAGCAAAAGUAGAACAGACAGAAAUGGUGACCUCACCAAUUAGUUACGAUUUCUAUAAGAAUGUUUAGGACUAGCAAACCUGUAAAUCAAACAUAUUUUCUUUUAGUUAAAAUCUAGAUUUUCCCAGUAUAAGAAAAUUUUAAAAAUAUAUUUUAACAUAUAUUUAUUUUAGGUUACUUCAUCAAGAACAACACUAUAUUUGUUCAUGAUAUUUGGCCGCAUAUUUGUUCAUGGUAUUUGGUCACAUUAUUUUUGCGUAAUAAUUAUUACUGCUUCUACAUUACAUUCGUGAUUUUCUUUACAUCAAAGUUAAGAUUUUUUUUUUGAAACUAUUAAAUUUGAGACUUAGUCAUGUGUUUAUCUGAAAAUUCUAUGUAUAAUGCUAAAUUAAUUUUACUUAAAUAUAAUUUUUACGAUUAAUUUAUUUUGUGUAAUAAUAACUUUUGUGUUUACAUUACAUUUGUGGUUUUCUUUACAUCAAAUUUAAGACUAUUUUUUUGAAUCAAUUAUCAAAUUUAAGACUUAGUCAUAUGUUUAUUUAAAAAUUCUAUGUAAUAAUGCUAAAUUAAUUUUAUUUAUUAAUAAUGAAUAAAAUCUCAUAUCAGCUAACGAGUUCGCCAAACAGAGUCUAAAGAGAAAUAAAUUGCUUUCUACAUGGUGUUAUUGGUUACCGGAUCACGUCAGAAUUAUUUGGUUGGUGGUUCGGGCCUGUUUCGUCUCAGGUUUCAGAUAAUAGUACAACAGCAGCUUUAGACAGUGCACACAUGCUUGAACCGCAAGUGACUUACAAUCCCUCCCGGUUUUCACUUGUGCAAUUUGGUUCUGGUCAAAGUGUACAUAUAUAGAAAGAUCCCUGGCUGAACCGUACAUUUUGAUACUUGUGUGGCUAGUGUGUAUAUCGGGUGUAACUUCGAUGGUAAAAGUAUAUUUAAGCCAAAUAUAUAUUCUGUUUUACGGAUGCAGAGAUGGAUUUAAGCUCAUGUUCCACGUGUUUGACGGCCACUAAUCACCAAUGGUUGCCUGCUUGAUUGCAACUGGUUGCCUACUGGAUCUCAUCACCAGAAUACUGCUAGCUAAAUCAACCGGAGUCAUUGAAUCUGGGGGCGUGCUGUUUUUUUUUAAAUUGUUGAAAUAUUCCCAAGAUUCUCUUCUUUCUUACAAGAGCGGUUGAAAUGGUCAUAACCAAUUGCGAUAACUUAUUUUGUUUUUCAUCAUUGUAUCUCUGCUGUCUUUACCUGGCCAGAUACACUGCAUGACGGCCUACAUGUGCCAGAUUUGACACAUAGCAGCAACUUGUUAUCGGUAAAGAAUCUACAUAGAAGGUCCUUAUCUUUUUAAAUCCUGGAUCAGCACAAGUUCAAUUUUUUUUUACAUUACUGUGUUUUAGACUUCUAGUUAAGCAUGACCAAUCGUCAAACUCAGGUGGUAAAAUUUACAUAUGAGUAAUGCUACGUACUCCAAAUUUUGUUUCCAAAUGACGUGACAAACACAUGGCUAGUUUUAAUUGGAUGGUUUAUGUGCAUACAUGAGUUCCAUUAUUAUUAGCGUAAGUGGAACCAAUCAGUCAUUACCAACUAGAUUGGGAACACAUUUUUGGGUACCUAGCAUUUUACUUUACAUAUUCUCCAGAUAGCGACAGAAAAUGAAUUCUACUGAUGUCACUCAAGAACAUGGUUUAGACUUGAUUAAUUUUCGUUUUUGCAAAACAAACCACUGCCUUUUGAGUAUUCUGAACAAUUAUGAAGAUGUAAACAAUGGUUAAUCACUGCAAAUGAAUAAUGCAAAGGGUGUAAAAGUGAACUUGUAAUAUGCUAAUGUUGUUUCUGGCCGAGCAGGGAGAGGGACCCUGCUGAGGUAGCUUCCUCUUUAAAGGUUAAACUACGACAGCAGCAACCGUGAAAGAUCAUAAAAGCAUGAUUGAGCUCAAUUCUUUUUUAGUUUUAAUAUCAUUAUGGGAAUAAACUGUGUCCAGAUACGGUCAAGUUGCAUCGAUGAAACAGAGAUUAUUCUACGAAAAAUGUGGCAAUAAUUUUUCCUCUACCAAUGCCAUUUCUUUUUCUAUAUAUAAUGAAUCUUGUAGACCACCACUUGAUCAACAAAGUGCACCUACUUUGAAUCUUGAAUCAAGUGUCUCUUGGACCUCUCCUUCUUUCUCCUUUAUAGUUUCAGUGGAGGUCAUUCUCGUCGAGACCCUUGUUAGGUUGUGCUCAUCCUUCUGAGUUAUUUAUCGAUGAUUUGGUAAAAUCUGUUAUGUCAUUAUAAUUAACAAUCUCCGUCAAAGUCAGGCUGGCAGAGACAAAAAAUACAAUCUCAGGAGACCAAUGAAAUCAUAAUUGAGGAAUAUAUAGUGACAGCGGUGAUAUCACUCUUUUUUCGAUUGCUAAGUCUAUUUUCCUUCGGUAUGAUUUAAAUCUCUCCCAACUGCUGCCUCUGAAGCCACAAGAACAAUAUCAGAAAUACAGGAAAGCCGUCGAUGGAAGGCAGGUACAGCUUGUACAGCCCGGGGAAUAGUGGCUGGAGUUCCGCGAGGAAUGAAGAACUGCAAGAAGAGGAUGUUUGGGGUUUUCUUGGCCAAAGCAAAUAUAUCUCUUCCGAAGCUAGUAAUUCCACUUUCUCACCUUAUAAUGCUCCCCGAGGCCUUCCCACCGCAGCCAAAAUGAUCCCGAGAACGCAUAGCAGUGCUCACCAGGAGCCCCUGACUCAAAUUUGCCAACAGUCUGCCCCUGUAAACAUUCCAGAUUGGUCAAAAAUAUAUGGCAAGAGCUCCAGCAACAAAUCCCUGUGGCUUGAUCACGACGACAAUGAGGACGACAAUGGCUACAACGAAUUCAGAAGACAAAAUUGGGAAAGCGAUGAAGAUGAUAUCGAUGACACUAUGAUACCUCCUCAUGAAUGGAUUGCCAAGAAGCUAGCAAGAAAUCAGAUCUCUUCAUUUUCUGUGUGUGAAGGAGCUGGCAGGACUCUCAAAGGAAGAGAUCUCAAGAGGGUAAGAAAUGCAAUUUUAAGCAAAACAGGAUUUCUCGAAUAAUUAGUACUCUGAUCAUCAUCAUUAUCAUGAUUAGUGAUAUAAAUAUCACUAAAUAUGAUUGACAAUGUGAUGGUGAAUCCGAAACAUGCAGUAUAUUAGUAAUCAAGGGUUGUUUUCUACAUUCAUUACCAUAUGUAAUUUGCAUAAUCUUGUUGAUCAAAUGUUUAAUUAGUAUUUGUAGCAGGAAAUUAAGCAAGAAUCUUGGCUAGCUUAGUCCUAGUUUUAUGUAAUUAUGUAACCAAGUAAAACCUCAGUGAUUUAGUUAUUGUGUUGUUAAAGCA